CUCUCUCUAUGAAAUCCCCUGCUCCACAGAGCUCCUCGAUCCUUUCUCGCUCUUCUCUCUCGCCCGUAUGGUUCUCCCUUUGCCGUUCGCCGUUCGCCGUUUGCCGUUCGCCGUUCACGGUCUCCCUCUUCUUUCUCUCUCUCCAUUCUCGCUCCUCUCUCUCGCCGGUCUACACUCAGGUUCUCCGUUCGCCGUUCGCCAGUCUCCAUGUAUGUGCUCCAUUCCGAUCUCCUCAGCACGAGUGGCGGUUCGAGAAGGUAGUCUCGUAGAGAGUUAAGAAUUUCGAGAAGGUAGUAUCAGUCUAAGCACUCCCAUUGAUAUGACUUCGGCUUCUUCCAUUUUUCAUGAUGUUAACAAGUGAUUGUAAGUAACUGCGCAAAACUCUGGUUUACUCCGUCGGACCAAAGAAGUAGAAGAAGAAACAGCCAACUUUUCUGGUGGGCAUGUCUCAUUCAUGGGUCCGAGCGCUUUCGGCUCGGAAGAAGAAUUUCGUUUUGGGUUUGUUUCGUCGCAAAACUAUAUCUCUGCCUCAUACCUUGGAACCCAGAAACUCCCUUGGUUCGACUUCAGCAAUUCAUAAUUGUGACGAAUUUUCAUCCAUUUUAAGAUCUCUUCUUAUUGGAACUGCAUCACGGGACAGGAACUGCUGUAGGUCCUUUUCGAGCCUCCAUCAUUGUAUUGUCGAGGAUACCGGGGAAGUUCGCAAGGGAUAGUUAGACUUAGGAUCUAUCUGAGGCAGUCUCUGGUUUUCGUCUUGGCCAACCUACGUUUACCUGACUGAGAAGUUAGACAUGCUUGCUUUAUUCGCCAUGAAUUUUUACGUACUUAUCUUCUCACAUGAAGCGAACAAAACCAUUCCUCCAACAGGCGAGUUGCAAACUCGACCAUGUUCUUUCUCUAAGCUAAGUACAAAGAAGAGUACUUUUACACGAACGUUGGCAAAAGCACCACAGUUGUCAGUGUUGAAGAGCAAUGUUACUCUCAGGCAAUCCCGAAAACCGAAACAAAGCUGCCAUUUGGUCUGCGGCCGAUACCUAUGGCAAUCACCAUCUCAGCUGCUUGUUUUUCCUGUGAUGUUGCCAUCCUUGGUGGCAAAAAUAAUUCGACUUAUUCACGUAAUGUUUUGAGUCAAUGUUAUGCAAGUGGACAAUGCUUUUGCUUUAUAUAAUAUCCAUAUGAUGGAGUUACAAUUAUCUUAGAUGCUAAUCUCAAUUUUGUGAAUUUGAGGA